GGCCUGAUAGUUCAGUGGUAGAAUUCUUGCUUUGGGUGUUCUUCGGACGCACAAAAUUGUAAGAGGUCUCCGGUUCGAUCCCGGUAAGGACCA